GUUCAUGUACGAUCACCGAAGUUAAGCAACGUCGAGCCUUUUUAGUACCUAGAUGGGUGACCGCUUGUGUAUACCAAGUGCUGUAA